GGGGCUGGGGGAGGGGCGUCAAGAUGGCGGCGGGGAGGUAGGCAGAGCCGGACGCCGCUGCUGCCGCCGCCUUCGCCGCCGCCGCCACAGUCGUCUCAGCCGCCUCCGCUCCAGUCGCCUCUGGUCCUUCAAGCUUUCACCGCCUGAAAGAAGCUGUUCUGGUGUCGGGUCCCGCAGGGAAAAUGGUGGAACCAGGGCAGGAUUUACUGCUUGCUGCUUUGAGUGAGAGUGGGAUUAGUCCAAAUGACCUCUUUGAUAUCGAUGGUGGAGAUACUGGGCUUGCAACUCCAACACCUACCCCUCCAGUUCAGCAGUCAGUGACGCUUAGUGCGUUAGAACUGGGUUUGGAGACUGAAACAACAGUUCCUGUGAAACAAGAACCAGAGACGGUACCUACUCCAGCACUCUUAAAUGUGAGGCAGCAGCCUCCAUCUACUACAACAUUUGUGCUAAAUCAAAUAAAUCAGCUUCCAACCUUGGGAUCUACAAUUGUAAUGACUAAAACACCACCUGUGACAACCAACCGCCAAACCAUUACUUUAACUAAGUUUAUCCAGACUACUGCGAACACACGGCCUUCAGUGUCAGCACCAGCAGUACGAAAUGCCAUGACUUCUGCACCUUCAAAAGACCAGGUUCAACUGAAGGAUCUACUCAAAAAUAAUAGUCUUAAUGAACUCAUGAAACUGAAGCCGCCAGCCAAUAUUGCUCAGCCAGUUGCGACAGCAGCUA